rnacentral:rRNA from 1 species
GACGAACGCUGUCGGCGUGCUUAACACAUGCAAGUCGAACGGAAAGGCCCUGCUUUUGUGGGGUGCUCGAGUGGCGAACGGGUGAGUAACACGUGAGUAACCUGCCCUUGACUUUGGGAUAACUUCAGGAAACUGGGGCUAAUACCGGAUAGGAGCUCCUGCUGCAUGGUGGGGGUUGGAAAGUUUCGGCGGUUGGGGAUGGACUCGCGGCUUAUCAGCUUGUUGGUGGGGUAGUGGCUUACCAAGGCUUUGACGGGUAGCCGGCCUGAGAGGGUGACCGGCCACAUUGGGACUGAGAUACGGCCCAGACUCCUACGGGAGGCAGCAGUGGGGAAUAUUGCACAAUGGGCGGAAGCCUGAUGCAGCAACGCCGCGUGCGGGAUGACGGCCUUCGGGUUGUAAACCGCUUUCGCCUGUGACGAAGCGUGAGUGACGGUAAUGGGUAAAGAAGCACCGGCUAACUACGUGCCAGCAGCCGCGGUGAUACGUAGGGUGCGAGCGUUGUCCGGAUUUAUUGGGCGUAAAGGGCUCGUAGGUGGUUGAUCGCGUCGGAAGUGUAAUCUUGGGGCUUAACCCUGAGCGUGCUUUCGAUACGGGUUGACUUGAGGAAGGUAGGGGAGAAUGGAAUUCCUGGUGGAGCGGUGGAAUGCGCAGAUAUCAGGAGGAACACCAGUGGCGAAGGCGGUUCUCUGGGCCUUUCCUGACGCUGAGGUGCGAAAGCGUGGGGAGCGAACAGGCUUAGAUACCCUGGUAGUCCACGCUGUAAACGGUGGGUACUAGGUGUGGGGUCCAUUCCACGGGUUCCGUGCCGUAGCUAACGCUUUAAGUACCCCGCCUGGGGAGUACGGCCGCAAGGCUAAAACUCAAAGGAAUUGACGGGGCCCCGCACAAGCGGCGGAGCAUGCGGAUUAAUUCGAUGCAACGCGUAGAACCUUACCUGGGUUUGACAUGGAUCGGGAGUGCUCAGAGAUGGGUGUGCCUCUUUUGGGGUCGGUUCACAGGUGGUGCAUGCCUGUCGUCAGCUCGUGUCGUGAGAUGUUGGGUUAAGUCCCGCAACGAGCGCAACCCUUGUUCACUGUUGCCAGCACGUUAUGGUGGGGACUCAGUGGAGACCGCCGGGGUCAACUCGGAGGAAGGUGGGGAUGACGUCAAGUCAUCAUGCCCCUUAUGUCCAGGGCUUCACGCAUGCUACAAUGGCUGGUACAGAGAGUGGCGAGCCUGUGAGGGUGAGCGAAUCUCGGAAAGCCGGUCUCAGUUCGGAUUGGGGUCUGCAACUCGACCUCAUGAAGUCGGAGUCGCUAGUAAUCGCAGAUCAGCAACGCUGCGGUGAAUACGUUCCCGGGGCU